GAUCCAGGAUGGCUGUUGACUAGCUGGCGGGGUUAGCACAGAUGGACUAGCUGGACCACGGACAGAAGGGGGGCACUUGCCAUGAAGGGACCACACUCCACAGGCCCAGGGGGUGGAGCCCGCGAUCUCCUGACUCCCACAGCUGCCCUCGGACCGCACCUCUCUCCCUCUGAGGCUCAGGCCACGAGCCAGAACACUGUUCCUCUUGCUGACCUCCGACAUUCGUUGCAGGCCUUGGAGCCCUGCUCACCAGCCCCCCCAGGGUCACAUUCCCUGCUGCUGUCCUGGCGAUUUCUGACAUCUACGUGCACAACUCACCCUUCAACUAUGUUUCUCAGGACAGCAUUGCUGUUUCAGGAAGGUGGCCAGGGUCUAAUCGUUCUGCAGUCCCAUUUCCACUAUGUAAACUGCUACAAAUUUUAGGAGACGUGUGUGCUGAGAAAUCUUAAAAUAAAGUCAAAGCACUGUGCUGGUGCAGGAAUCUUAGUACAGAUCCAGACUUUCUACUGCACUCCUACUGAAAGCGAGGUGUUACGAAGCACAUUAUCCCACCGGAUCCUAAAGGGGCUCUGAGGUGCUAUAGUUGAAAACACCUGGAAGAGAGUUGUUCCAGACAACUGAAAAGGAAAGAAACUGUUCUGAAGAGUUGUUGCCUUGCAACACAGACCUGGCUGCCGUGCUCCAAUCUGGAUUACUCUGCAAGGCCACCCGGCCCCAGAGCUUCCCUGGAGGACCAGCGGAGGCCGCUAUUGAAGCUGCAUCCCAGCCCAGCUUCUCCCUCAGCCUGCCCUCGCUGCCCUUGCUUUCUUCCAGGGGCUGUUCCUCUACCACUCCCCAAUAAACCUCCUGCAGGCCGAUCCCCUUCUCAGAGUCUGUUUCCCAGGGAACCCCCCUAGGACUUACACCAUCCUUCUCGAGGGAAGUGACUCUAUCAACAGACUGAGACUUUCGUCUGCCAUAGUUGCCCAAGGACAUGGAGGUCUGUGGGCCUUUUGUAGGAUGAUUAGCUACAUCUCUGCAGCAAACGAGGAAAAUAUGUCAUCACUGCAAAUUCCCUCUUAGAAGUCCCUCCAGUCUCAGGAAUCGUCCUUGCUUCUCCAAUUUCUAUAAGACAUUGAGAAACUUGCACUCAGUAUGCGACUGUGGUAAGACUGGAUGUCAUCGGACGUCACAAUGGGCCCCCCGUUUUGCCACUGCUGCCUCACAUGUGAGGUGAUACAUCAGCUGGCUGAAAACCUGACCAGAGGCAGAACUUGGGAGAUUUCAGGAAGAUGCACCCAGCACAAGCCAGGCAGAACAACAGCAAUUAUGGCCACAUCCAGAGGACUUCUAAAGAGCAGCGCACAGGAGAGAGAGGUUCUGACGCUUGCUGUGAAGUUAGAGGACAGAGAAAGAGUAAACCAGCCACUCAGGGCCUACGGUUGCUAGUCUACUCCAGCUGGAGACCUAGUGACGGGGCUACUGCUAGCUGAAUAGGAAAAUGCAAGGAGGCAUGUUCUAAAGAGACGGCAGGAAGCCUUUAGGUAAUGAUACCAAAAAGGAAAGACCAGGCACAGUGCUGGUGCUCUUAUAUGUCUUGAGAUAUAAUUUUCACAACCCAGUGAGGCAGGCAUAAUUAUCUCUAUGAAAUUAAAACUAAGAAAAAUUAGGUAACUUACCCAAGUCACAGUAGUUAAGCUGGAGUUCGAACCCUAAUCUCUGAGGCUCGCAAACCCCUGCCCUUGGCCUGGGCCACCUUCAUCACAGCCCUCAACCACCAGAAACCAGAGAAGCCAGAGCACAGGGUAAGCAAACCCAGCGAAAUCUGAAGGAACGCGCAUCACCUUCCACAAUUCCUGCAACCUCAGAGCAGGCUGCAGACAUUCUGUCCCUCUGGUUCCACAAUCCAAUGAGACAUCUUUAGAGGGGAAGGGAGAAAAUCAGUGAGCACUCAGAGGAGGCAGCACUGGGCAUUCCACUGCCACAAGGAAAUCUGGGCUGCGGGUUCCAUGAGAUGAUACCCACUGCCCUCUGCUGGCAACCAGGAAGAACAAGAGGAAAGAGGACCAAAGAUCCAUUUCAGGUUGACGUGUCAAGAGAUGAUGAGGGUGGAUAGAACUUCCCUGGUGGCACAGUGGUUAAGAAUCUGCCUACCAAUGCAGGGGACAUGGGUUUGAGCCCUGGUCCAGGAAGAUUCCAUGUGCCGUGGAGCAAGGAAGCCCGUGCACCACAACUACUGAGCCCGCACGCCACAACUACUGAAGCCCGCAUGCCUAGAGCCCGUGCUCCGCAACAGGAGAAGCCACUGCAUUGAGAAGCCCGCGCACUGCAACGAAGAGUAGCCCCUGCUCGCCACAAUUAGAGAAAGCCCAUGCACAGCAACAAAGGCUCAAUGCAGCCAAAAAAAAAAAAAAAAAAUAGAGAUGAUGAGGGUGGAUUUUUAAAAACCUUUUAUUAGAGAUGAAUUCAAGCUUAUAAAAGAAUGGCAUAUUAUGUUCCCAUGUAUGUUCACCAGCUUCAACAAUGUAUCAACUCAUAGCCAAUCUCGAGUCAUCCCCACCCUUACCCACUUCCCUCCAACAUGUUUUCUUUUGAAGCAAUUCUCAGACAUUCUGUCAUUUCAUCUGUAAAUAUGUUAGUAUGUAUUUCCACAAGAAAAUGAUUUUUUAACCCCGUAACACCACCAUUAUCACAACUAAAAAAAAAAAAAAAUCAAUAAAUCUAGUAGUUGCUUAUAGCACAGGAAGCCAAAAAUAAAAAAACCCGAAGCAUCCAGCCUCACCCAAGGAUUAUGGUAAGGGAGGUGCAAUCAUGCAAAACACAGAUUAAUAGCCUGAGCCACCCAAGCAAACAAAAGUACCUCAUCUUCAGCCUUGCCAGGAUAACUCAGCAAGAAGACAGAUUAAAUAAAUAUCUUAACUGGAAAUGCAAAGCUAUGCACCCCUGAGUGGUAGGACAAUCUUCAGCUGAGUAGGUUUGGCACACGUGCUACUAAACCUUUGUGGACGGGCUGAAUCUUUCCAAAGAUUCAGGACGGCAACAUUUGGCUGUGUCCCCAGGCAACCGAAGCGAGGCCUUAAGAGGUGUGAUCGUGCAGCUCCCUGGCAAUCUCAAGCCAGGGACCAGAAUCAGGCUGAAAGACCACUCCUUCUUCAGGUUCCCUCUGUGCCAUUUAUCCCUAGUAAUGCAAACUUCUAUUUAUGUGUCCAUCUCCCCUUCUAGAUGAUGAAGCCUCUGAAGGCAGGAUGGUACAGGGUUCACCCUGUAUCCUGCGUGGCGAGCACAUAAGUGAUGCUCAGUAGACAGCUGCAUAAAGAGAGACUGAACUGGAAAAGUCUGUCAUCAGACAGUACCAAGUGUUGGAAAGAAUGGGGAGAAACAAGAACUUUCGUUUACCCCUAGUGGGAUGAUAAAAUGAUAAACCACUUUGGCAAUUUGGCAAUAUCCAAAGAUAUGUUCCAAUGUUUAAGCCCAUAACACAAGAACAGGAUGUUUUAAAUUUAAAAAAGAAGGAAUAUUCAGAGAACAAAAAAAGAGAAGAGCUCCUAGAAAUUAAAAUAACAAAAAUAAAACAACUCAAUGGAAACUCAAGUGGAGAAAGCAAAGCAAAAGGACAAAGAGAUCGGGCUUCCCUGGUGGCGCAGUGGUUGAGAGUCUGCCUGCCGAUGCAGGGGACAUGGGUUCGUGCUCCAGUCCGGGAAGAUCCCACAUGCCAUGGAGUGGCUGGACCCGUGAGCCAUGGCCGCUGAGCCUGCGUGUCUGGAGCCUGUGCUCCGCAACGGGAGAGGCCACAACAGCGAGAGGCCCGCGUACCGCAAAAAAAAAAAAAAAAAAAGGACAAAGAGGACACGAAAGAAAGAAAACCAAAGGACCAGUCUAGGAGGUCCAAUGUUUGAAUAAAAGGCGUUCCAGAAAGAGAAGAGAGAAAACAGAUGGGAAGAGCGAAUACAAUAAAUUUUUCCUAUAUUCUUAUACUCUGAGUUUCCAAACUGAAGGGUAAUGAGUAUUCAGUGUAACAGAUAAAAAACAGACUCACAUCGAAACACACCACUGAGAAACUUCAGAGCCCUGGGGUUAAAAGAAGACCUAAAAGGCUUCCACAAAGAACAUACACAAAGGAUUAAGAAUCAGAACUUCCUAGAAGUGAGAAGAUAAUCGAAGCAAUGGUAUCAAAAUUCUAAAGGACAACUAUUUCUAAUCAUCUCCAGCCUGAGCCUCAGUCAGGCGUGAGGGUGGACUAAAGAUACGCUUGGCCACACGUGGGCUCCAAAUCUGCCUCCUCUGCCCCCUUUCCCACGAAGUUCCUGGAUGGUGCGCUUCACCAAAAUGAUGAGGCUGUGCGCCACAAAAGUCAAAGACACCAGAUACAGGAAACAGGGUUCCUCACAUGAGACAGGUGACGACAGCCUCUGUGGGAAAAGAAAGCUGUGACGGCAAGGAGAAGUGUAUCACAUGGCUCAGCUAUGAAUCACAGUAACACAGUCAGACAAUGGAAACUCAAGGUUGGCUUCACUAAAGCUACGGCACAACCAUAUCUGGAACACAGAGGGAUGGGUGCGGGGGUGUGUGUGUGCGCGUUGGUGGGGGCAGUUGAAUUCUAAUCUGCUAGAGUGAGAAGUCCACAGAUGAUGCCUAAAAUUAAAAGGAGAGAAGCAGCAAUAUAAGCUCAUUAUCCAGAGAAACAGCAGUGAAAACAAAAAUAACCCACCAGGAGAGUCAGCAGUGGUUGUCUCUGGAGAGGAACACUGGCCGGCGGGGAGGGCAAGGUACUGCUGUUUUUGCAACAAUAUCAUGUGUAACUCCCACAGAUAUGAAAACGCAAGGGGAAACCUGCACAUAAGGAGUAACUGGGAAAACGCAGAGGGGCAGCAAAUCCUCCCAGCAGCACCUCAGACUCCGGAUUACAGCGCCAUCUGCCUGUCUAUAUGUUACUGCCGUGUCCUAGGUUAUGACCAUCAAAAUUCAGCAUUUCGCAAGUACUUGCAGGAUACAGAUAAAGCUUUACAUUUUAACCAGGAGCACUGAGGCUGCUCAAUCCAGCAGGUACGUUAAGUGUGGAUUUUUAACAAUUCUUACCAGCAGUGAAAAUGCCUUUGGUGCUCUGUCUCAUACUGGAAGGUCUCACGAUUGCUGAGAGCCCUGUGAGAAAAAAACAAUAACAAUGCCAAAAAAGCCAGAUGUGAGUCAUCCUAACACUUUUAAAACUUGAAACUAAAUAUUCUUUCCAGCUAUCCAAUAAAACCAGCAAAUCUAUCUCUGGUGUCAGAGUGACAGUGAAAAGAGUAUCAGGAUCGAGGUCCAGGAGACUGGAGCUGCCAGCUGUGUCAACGACCAGCUGUGUCACUGACCAGCUGUGUGAACACAAGCAAAUGACCUCCCCACUCUGGGUCUGGGACGCCUCAUCUUACAACCAGUGGGUUAGGUGACCCUUGAAGGUCAUUUUUUUCACUUUAAAUCUGCUUAAGUCUGCUGGCUCUCAAUUCCAAGAUGUGGAAAGAUUGGGGAAAAAAACACCAAACGUUUCUGCCUAGGAGGAAAACUUAUUCUGAAAUCACUCAGAGGACUCCUCGGUGAGGACAGCAGGACAGUCCUUCAGGCCCACAGAAAGGCAGAAGGACUCACACCAUGACCAGAAAAGACACGCCUCCACAUGUAUCUUCAGAAGAGGUAGCCGGCACCCUAGGCACAUGCUCCGCUCUGCCCGACGGGCAGGUGUCUCCAUGUGACACCGUCACUGUGACUUGCAUCCUGCCAGGUGGCCAGGCUGCUCCCUGGGGAAGCUCAGCAAAUACGUACUCAACAGUAAACGGUGCACUCAUCUGAGGGAGGGCAUCAUUUUCUUUUCUUUUUUUCAUCAUUUUCAAUUUCAUGAUUUCCUUACUUGCUGACUGACCUUGUAAAUUACCUGUAACACCUCAAAAGGCAGCAAGUCUCUGAAGAUCAGGCUCAGAUUUUUGGUCCACAUUGGGGAUGACGUGAGGAACAGGGGCCAUGUUGGAGCAGACCUACUGUGCACACAGGAGCCACACCGAGGGGGCGUCGGCCAAGGAGAGUGGUGUUCUUGAUGUUAUAAAAGCAUUAAAAAUGUCACCAGUCUCGGGCUUCCCUGGUGGCGCAGUGGUUGAGGGUCCGCCUGCCGAUGCAGGGGACGCGGGUUCGUGCCCCGGUCCGGGAAGAUCCCACAUGCCGCAGAGCGGCUAGGCCCAUGAGCCAUGGCCGCUGAGCCUGCGCAUCCGGAGUCUGUGCUCCGCAACGGGAGAGGCCACAACAGUGAGAGGCCCGCGUACCACAAUAAAAAAAAAAUCACCAGUCUCCAUCCUCCUCAGACCACCGUGAGGAACAAACACAUGUCUUUGAAAUAACUUCUAAACAUUAUGCCCUUGGGACCAAAAGAAUCAUUGUUUCCCUCUCUGUCAGUGAUUUAGGACCCAGGGAUCUGAAAAUAGAAGUACUUUCAGCACCCUACUUCAAACAAACAAGAAUUUAGGUUGGGAAAACCCCCAGACUGUUAGUGCUUUCUUAUUCUGAGAGGAAAUCUCUCUCUCCAUCUCACUAGGCAAGAAAGAAUAGAGAACCCGUCUCAGCCACAAAGUUUGCUCCCCCCGACCCCCUCCAGCCAACACUUCCUCCCCGUCAGAUUCAUGCACGUACCUAGACGCACCACGUCUCCACAGUCGGGGUCAUGAGCCACUUGCAAUAAAGUUUCUUCCACAUCUCUGUUUUUUCCAGGAGGGUCCAUAAUAUGAUUUAUUUGUUGCUGUAAGGUUUUGGGCAAUGUCAUUAGUUGAGUGAACUGUCCUUCUGGGCUUUUAUCGAUCUAAGGAAAAAAAAAAGAUAACGUCUAUGGAAAGUGCUUUGAAUUCUAUAAAUAUUCAAAGCACAUGGCUUCUCCUUAAAACCACAUGAACAUAUAUGAACUCACACCUAGUAGACUAGGCAGGUGCUAAGGAGACUUUCUCCUUUCUGAAACUGAAUGCCUAGGUGUUAAGGAUUCUAAGUUCCUUCGAACAAGUUAAUUCUUUUCCUAUGAUAUUCUACUUGUACUUAAGAAUAGAAAUUUCUUUCAAGAAUCAAUUUUUGACUCUCAGUUUUAAAAUUUCUAUUUGUUCUAAAUCCGGUAGUUAAAGAAAGUAAAAUUUCAGCUAAAAUUCAUCGACACACCGGCUCACCCAAGUACUCAUUUUCUUUUAUUUAUUUAUUUAAAUUUUAUUUAUUUAU